rnacentral:rRNA from 1 species
UACGUAGGGUGCAAGCGUUGUCCGGAAUUAUUGGGCGUAAAGAGCUCGUAGGCGGUCUGUUGCGUCGGCUGUGAAAACUCGGGGCUUAACUCCGGGCCUGCAGUGGGUACGGGCAGACUAGAGUGCGGUAGGGGAGACUGGAAUUCCUGGUGUAGCGGUGAAAUGCGCAGAUAUCAGGAGGAACACCGAUGGCGAAGGCAGGUCUCUGGGCAUUAACUGACGCUGAGGAGCGAAAGCAUGGGGAGCGAACAGG